rnacentral:snRNA from 1 species
AGCUUUGCACAGUGGCAGUAUCAUAGCCAAUGAGGUUUAUCCAAGGCACAAUUACUGAUAAUUGAAACAAGAUUUCCUCUUUUCCAAGUAAAAACUCCAGGCACCAGAGUGUUUGCUCUCUCUGCCAUGUGAG